AAGAGAUGAAGGGAAAAUGAAAGGAAAAGGGAAGAAGGUUGAAACCUGAGAAGAUGAUGGCAAUGCAAAGACAAAGAGGUCUUCAGGGUACUUGGGCUACAAUUUGAUAAGAUAAGCACAUGCAUAACUAAAGUGGCUAAAUUGGCAGCAGAUUUUACAUGUCAACUUAACGUUUUCCAAUGCAGAAGUUCUCCAGUAAGAAACUGGUGACGUGCAUAACUGACACAGUCCAGAGUUCAUGACUAGAAGACAAUAAUCAUUUU
rnacentral:lncRNA from 1 species